rnacentral:rRNA from 1 species
UACGUAGGGGGCGAGCGUUAUCCGGAUUCACUGGGUGUAAAGGGAGCGUAGACGGCCAAGCAAGCCAGGGGUGAAAGCCCGGGGCCCAACCCCGGGACUGCCCUUGGAACUGCAUGGCUGGAGUGCGGGAGGGGCAGGCGGAAUUCCUGGUGUAGCGGUGAAAUGCGUAGAUAUCAGGAGGAACACCGGUGGCGAAGGCGGCCUGCUGGACCGCGACUGACGUUGAGGCUCGAAAGCGUGGGGAGCGAACAGG